GUUCAUUUGUUUACUUCUCUUGCUAUUUUUUUAGCCGAUGCAAUUCCUCAAUGAAAGUUGCUUGAUGGAGAAUUUUUAUAUAAAUUUAUGCGGAAUUUGUUUUGAUUAUGUUGGUCACUAUGCGUUUAGGCAGUUACUUGAUUGUUAGUUAAACUAUCAGGAACGCGAAAUGAUGUGAUGAUUUACGCUUUCUUUAGACAUCAUGAAUCGAUAGAGUUUCUCUGUUAGAAAUGAGAGUAAAGCAAACAGGAAAAGAUGAUAUUCGAAUCGGAAUUAGCUCCUGGAUUCUUAUAUUUUCCAUGGGCAUCUCCCCGUUGGAGAGAUAAGGUUAUCCAUCGGAAAUGGCUGCGUCGGGGAUAUGCCAUUUGGUCUCUUUCUUAUAUAUGAGGCAGUAUAUCCAUUUUUCAUUGAUGAGAAAAUAUAUGUUAUGAUGCAUUGUCUGGGAGGUCCAGCAACUGCAUCUUGAUUUUGCAAUAUGCCUUUUGUUUGGGAUAUAUAUUUAUAAUACAUGAAGCAGUUGUUCCCUGGUUAUUUUUCUGUUUUAUUAUGACAUAUACCUGUAUCUAUAAUGGAUCUAUAAUGAAUUAUGUGUUUUUUUUGUCAGUGUUUCUCACUGUCAAUAACUAUUUUUCACUCAGUCUCACUUAAUGUCGCCGCUGGAACUGGGUGCUGCUGUGUCUGUCUUGCUUGGUUUUGCACCACCUGCCACACUUUCAGCUGCUGGUUCAUCUAAGUUGAAUGAAGUUCUCUUGCCCAAUCCAUUUGAUAGGCCUCGCACUGUUUUCAUGCUGGAAGUCACAGGAGUCAAUGAUCUGGAUGCUCCACAAAUUGGCAUGUUCAGCAAUGCCUUUAGAAGCAAGGUUAUUCUUGAUUCGGAUAAAGCUCAAAUUGAACUGCCAGAUGAAGAAGUUUCUGUGGUUUCUUUAGAUGAAACAUCAGCAGACUGCAAUGACGAGGAACUAAGUGGUUUGGCAUCUUGGUUGGGUGGAUCCUAUGCUAUAGAUGCUUUGGAAACACAGAAUGGAAAGUUGAUCAUCCCACUGGCUAGUGGUGUCAAUAUGAAUCUUCACGUGUCAAAGAAAGCAGACCAGGAAUUCAUAGCAAGUCUCUUGGCUUUGUUCCGCAAUAGUAGAAGAGCAGUAGAAAUGCAUGAAGAUCUGUCACAGGCUACUCAAGGACCUGCAGAGUUGAUCAUGGGUCGUUUUGAUGGCGUUAAGGUGAUGACAUUUGUCGUCCCUCCUUUUGUUUGUGUUUAAAUAUGUUGUUUUGCAAGAGUGAAUUUUAUUUGACCCAUGCUGCUUCAGUUAAGACUUUAUGUGACAGAAAAGAAUCCCUGAAGUGCAUGUUAAUGAGGAAAAAUGGUGUUUGUUAUUUUUCUUGUUUGGGUUUUUAUCCUUUGGUUUCCAGAUGGGUUUUGAGCAAAUAUCAUAUAAUGACUUGGAUGAAAUAUUGGAUAAUGGGUCUCUUCAUGCUCUCUUGAGUGAUAGAGAUUUUUGACCUUGUCCAGCCUUUAAUUAGUGAAAUUAUAUUACUUUCAUAUAAAAUUUUAUACAACCUAUUGAUUCUAACAUUGCUUCACCUCAUUCUUAAAUUAUAUGAUUUGAAAUGAUUUCCAGUGAUAGUGUUUUAUUGGUUAGCCAAGUUUAGAAGAUGGAAAAGUUGUGUUCUUUUCUGCCUCAAACCUUCUUCGUAUCAGUGCAUUUAGAUACCUAUCAACUUUAUCACUUAUUUAUUUAUUUAUUGUCCUAGGCCUUGCAAGAGCAAUAUGGACCUGAAGUUGUGGAGCAAGGACUGGAGCUAUUGCUUGCUACAUUGUCUAAAAUGCUUGAUUCAUUCCAAGCAGCAUACAAAGGUCAAUUUGUUGGAGUUAUCAUCUGUAAUGAGAUACCUUCUUCAGAAUCAGGAACAAUGUUGAAUCUGAUGUUGACUUCACGGCCAUCUGCACGUUGGUUGGCAGAGAAAGAAGGAUCAAAUACAACUAAUGCAACAACCAUUGCAGAAAUAGCCUUGGUUAGAAAGACCCUAGCUUGGGUGACUGGAAUUAUUCUUCUCAUUUCUACUCUAUUAGGGAUAUACUUGCUGCUCAAUAUGCCACUCACUAGGGACACACUUCUCUACUCUAAUGUCAAACUUGACUAAAGGUUGCUCUGGCAAAUCAGGUGUCCUCUUUUAAGCAUCGGUAGCUGGUGCGUGGCCGAGAAAAUACAAGAAAGCUGGUUGAUGUGAGGUCUAAUGUACUUUGGGGCAGGGGGAAUUCAAAUGUGUAACAAUGAUAAUUAUGGAGCAAAUUUUUGGUUGGCGGUUAGAUAGAUUGUCAUAUUGUGCAUUUGUUGAAUAGUUUGUUGCCAUCAUGAUAUUAAUAUGUAUUUUUAGCUGCCUUUCAUAAUUGAACGUCAUAUAAGAUUUUGAAUAAGGAAAACUGCUGAGAUUCCUAGUUAUAUUUCUAAUUCAUGUUUGAAUAUGAGCACUUAUCUCCUCUGUGAUUAUUU
rnacentral:misc_RNA from 1 species